GACGAACGCUGGCGGCGUGCCUAAUACAUGCAAGUCGAGCGGACGAAUCGAAAGCUUGCUUUUGAUUCGUUAGCGGCGGACGGGUGAGUAACACGUGGGCAACCUGCCCUGUAGACGGGGAUAACACCGAGAAAUCGGUGCUAAUACCGGAUAACACGAAAUGUCGCAUGACGUUUCGUUGAAGGACGGCGCAAGCUGUCGCUACAGGAUGGGCCCGCGGCGCAUUAGCUAGUUGGUGAGGUAACGGCUCACCAAGGCGACGAUGCGUAGCCGACCUGAGAGGGUGAUCGGCCACACUGGGACUGAGACACGGCCCAGACUCCUACGGGAGGCAGCAGUAGGGAAUCUUCCGCAAUGGACGAAAGUCUGACGGAGCAACGCCGCGUGAGCGAAGAAGGCCUUCGGGUCGUAAAGCUCUGUUGUUAGGGAAGAACAAGUAACGCAGUAACUGGCGUUACCGUGACGGUACCUAACGAGAAAGCCACGGCUAACUACGUG
rnacentral:rRNA from 1 species